UAUGGGAGGGUAAUGGACAUGGACAUGCCCGAUCUCGUCUGAUCUCGGAAGCUAAGCAUGGUCGGGCCUGGUUAGUACAUGGAUGGGAGACCGCCUGGGACUACCAGGUGCUGCAAGUG
rnacentral:rRNA from 10 species